rnacentral:rRNA from 1 species
UCCUGCGCGCAGCCAUGGUCGUCCUGGAAAACCAUAGGCGCAGAAAACACGACUUGAGUUGUGCGGGAUUACGGGCGAGAUUCUAUGCUCGUCCCUCCAUCCCCGGGUGUUAUACUCGGCAUGCGGUGCGUGGGCUUGCCUGCGUACCGUGCCAUAACAUACCGUGAGUGUGCAGGAUGUGACCCGAAAGAUGGUGAACUAUGCCUGAUCAGGUUGAAGUCAGGGGAAACCCUGAUGGAGGACCGAAGCAGUUCUGACGUGCAAAUCGAUUGUCAGAAUUGGGCAUAGGGGCGAAAGACCAAUCGAACCAUCUAGUAGCUGGUUCCUUCCGAAA